rnacentral:rRNA from 1 species
AGUGAACGCUGGCGGUAGGCCUAACACAUGCAAGUCGAACGGCAGCACAGUAAGAGCUUGCUCUUACGGGUGGCGAGUGGCGGACGGGUGAGGAAUACAUCGGAAUCUACUUUUUCGUGGGGGAUAACGUAGGGAAACUUACGCUAAUACCGCAUACGACCUACGGGUGAAAGCAGGGGAUCUUCGGACCUUGCGCGAUUGAAUGAGCCGAUGUCGGAUUAGCUAGUUGGCGGGGUAAAGGCCCACCAAGGCGACGAUCCGUAGCUGGUCUGAGAGGAUGAUCGGCGGCACUGGAACUGGGACACGGUCCAGACUCCUACGAGAGGCAGCAGUGGGGAAUAUUGGGCAAUGGGCGCAAGCCUGGUCCAGCCAUACCGCGUGGGUGAAGAAGGCCUUCGGGUUGUAAUGCCCUUUUGUUGGGAAAGAAAAGCAGCAGGUUAAUACCCCGCUGUUCUGACGGUACCCAAAGAAUAAGCACCGGCUAACUUCGUG